rnacentral:tRNA from 1 species
GAGAUAAUAGUAUAAAUUUAGUAUGUUUCUUUUUCGAAGAAAUGGUAAUUUAUCUUG